UUGCAUCACAUCUUGGAUUCACCACCCUGAUCCAUCAGUCUGUUGCACGGGAGCUGUCGGCCGUGCUGUUCCAGUUCAGGGGCUCCUGCAACAGAAAAGAUCAGCUGUUGGAGAACCCAUGGAAAGCCCUGGGGGAGAGCCAUGGCCGCAAGCGACUGGAGGAAGAGAGCCCGGUAUUUACAUAUUUUGACGUUUAUCAAAUAAAACGCGGCGCCUGAAUUAAUUCUGCUCUGAUUUAUAAGGGAAGGGGGGGAAGGGGAGC
rnacentral:lncRNA from 14 species